rnacentral:sRNA from 1 species
CUGCGACGCCUCUUUGGGCGUUUCCUCCCUAGACUUCGGGCCGCCCUCGUGGCGGCCUUUUUUUGUCCGUUU